GACGAACGCUGGCGGCAUGCCUAACACAUGCAAGUCGAGCGAGCUGAUUCCUUCGGGAUGAUGCUAGCGGCGGACGGGUGAGGAGCACGUGGGCAACCUGCCUCAUAGAGGGGACCAGCCUUCCGGUCGGCAGUUUCAUACCGCAGACGAUUGGAUCUUCGCAUGAAGCAGCAAUUAAAGGCGCCAGCCGCUAUGAGAUGGGCCCGCGGCGCAUGAGCUAGUUGGUGAGGUAACCGCGCACCAAGGCGAGGAUGCGUAGCCGACCUGAGACGGUGAUCGGCCACAUUGGGACUGAGACACGGCCCAGACUCCUACGGGAGGCAGCAGUGGGGAAUAUUGCACAAUGGGGGAAACCCUGAUGCAGCAAUGCCGCGUGCGUGAUGACGGCCUUCGGGUUGUAAAGCUCUGUCUUCGGGGACGAUAAUGACGGUACCCGAGGAGGAAGCCACGGCUAACUACGUGCCAGCAGCCGCUGUAA
rnacentral:rRNA from 1 species